AUUGAACGCUGGCGGCAGGCCUAACACAUGCAAGUCGAACGAGUGGCGGACGGGUGUAUAAUGUCUGGGACACUGCCUGAUGGGGGGGGAUAACUACUGGAAACGGUAGCUAAUACCGCAUACCAUCGGAUGUGCCCAGAUGGGAUUAGCUGGUAGGUGGGGUAAAGGCUCACCUAGGCCACGACCCCGAGCUGGUCUGAGAGGAUGAACAGCCACACUGGAACUGAGACACGGUCCAGACUCCUACGGGAGGCAGCAGUGGGGAAUAUUGCACAAUGGGCGCAAGCCUGAUGCAGCCAUGCCGCGUGUAUGAAGAAGGCCGUCGGGUUGUAAAGUACUUUCAGCGGGGAGGCGUUACCCACAGAAGAAGCACCGGCUAACUCCGUGCCAGCAGCCGCGGUAAUAC
rnacentral:rRNA from 1 species